UACGUAGGGAGCAAGCGUUGUCCGGAAUUAUUGGGCGUAAAGAGCUCGUAGGCGGUGUGUCGCGUCGGCCGUGAAAACCUGGGGCUCAACUCUGGGCGUGCGGUCGAUACGGGCAUCACUUGAGUUCGGCAGGGGAGACUGGAAUUCCUGGUGUAGCGGUGAAAUGCGCAGAUAUCAGGAGGAACACCGGUGGCGAAGGCGGGUCUCUGGGCCGAUACUGACGCUGAGGAGCGAAAGCAUGGGUAGCGAACAGG
rnacentral:rRNA from 1 species